GCCGAUGUAGCUCAGCCGGUAGAGCAGCUCAUUCGUAAUGAGCAGGUCCUCGGUUCGAGUCCGAGCAUCGGCU
rnacentral:tRNA from 1 species